CAGUAGCCGCGGGAAAACCAGCACCUCGAGUGGUCAGGAGGUUUAUUGGGCCUAAAGCAUCCGUAGCCGGUUGCAUAAGUUUUCGGUUAAAUCUAUGCGCUUAACGUAUAGGCCGCCGAAAAUACUGUGCAGCUAGGGAGUGGGAGAGGUACACGGUACUCGAUAGGAAGGGGUAAAAUCCUUUGAUCUAUUGAUGACCACCUGUGGCGAAGGCGGUGUACCAGAACACGUUCGACGGUGAGGGAUGAAAGCUGGGGGAGCAAACCGGAUUAGAUACCCGCGUAGUCCCUGUCUCUUAUAC
rnacentral:rRNA from 1 species